UGGGGAAUAUUGGACAAUGGGGGCAACCCUGAUCCAGCGAUGCCGCGUGAGUGAAGAAGGCCUUCGGGUCGUAAAGCUCUUUAGGCUGGGACGAAGGGUAUGUGGUGAAUAGCCAUGUAUUUUGACGGUACCGGCAGAAUAAGCACCGGCAAACUCUGUGCCAGCAGCCGCGGUAAUACAGAGGGUGCGAGCGUUAAUCGGAGUUACUGGGUGUAAAGGGCGCGUAGGCGGUGGGAUGAGUGUGAUGUGAAAGCCCCGGGCUUAACCUGGGAAGUGCAUCGCAAACGAUCUGACUGGAGUAUAUGAGAGGGUGGCGGAAUUUCCGGUGUAGCGGUGAAAUGCGUAGAGAUCGGAAGGAACGUCAAUGGCGAAGGCAGCCACCUGGCAUAAUACUGACGCUGAGGCGCGAAAGCGUGGGGAGCGAACAGGAUUAGAUACCCCCGUAGUCC
rnacentral:rRNA from 1 species